rnacentral:sRNA from 1 species
UAACGAAGGUGAAAGUGAGGAUGAUAUC